GUUUGCUAGCUGCAGGUAGCCUAUAGCUCCUUAUAGGCCUACAUAUAAUGUCAGAUAGUCUACACAGUAGCUAGGCAAGAUGUAAAAUUAGGGAUUUAGCAGCUUUAUUAGUUUAAGUUCACAUAUUCAGCAUGAAUAGCGAGGCUAUUUCGUGGUAAGAAUUACUUGUGUUGCCCAAUAUCCUGCUGGAAUAGGCUACUGAGGAUGGGGUCGCAUUAUUUUUAUGUUUUUACCUGUAGUCUAAUCUGACUGACUGUUACCUUCAAUCUAAUACAUUCUAACAGCAACAGCUGUUGAUAUAGAACUGUGACCAAUUUCAUUAACUAAACAUGCCCACUAAUAAUUGCAUAAUAGCGCAAGGCCACAACGACAAUAAACUGAAGUUAUAGGGUAUGUUUUUAAAACCGUUUGCCAGCCAAUUGAUGGCCAACAGAUGCAAAUGUAUCAUUCUCCACAUUUAAUGUCAGUUUUAUUGUGGACCUUUCCCUAAAACAGAAGCACGCGAGGGAGUUCUAUAAUGUACAUUUCAAAUUUCCACUCACACAGCACUCAACCCAAGAACUGAGCAAGCGUAAAACCCUUCGCCUGAUAUGAUUUUCCACAAGCAAAGUCGACAUUAGAAUGCAGUUUGGUGGCACAGUGGUCUGUGCCACCAGUGACUCUGGGUUCGAUCCCAGGCUCUGUCCCAGCCGGCAGCUACCGGGAGGUCCAUGGGGCGACGCACAAUUGGCCCAGCGUCGUCCGGGUUAGGGAGAGUUUGGCCGGUAGGGAUAUCCUUGUCUCAUCGCGCACUAGCGACUCCUGUGGCGGGCCGGGCGCAGUACACGCUGACCAGGUCGCCAGGUGCACGGUGUUUCCUCCGACACAUUGGUGCGGCUGGCUUCCGGGUUGGAUGCGCGCUGUGUUAAGAAGCAGUGCGGCGUGGUUGGGUUGUGUUUCGGAGGAUGCAUGGCUUUCGACCUUCGUCUCUCCCGAGCCCGUAUGGGAGUUGUAGCGAUGAGACAAGAUAGUAACUGCUAACAAUUGGAUACCAUGAAUUUGGGGAGAAAAAGGGGGUAAAAUAGGGCCUUCCUCUGACACCGCCUGGGGUAGAGGUCCUGGAUGGCAGGCAACCUAGCCCCAGUGAUGUACUGGGCCGUACGCACUACACUCUGUAGUGCAUUGCGGUCGGAGGCCGAGCAAAAAAUUGUUUCCAGUAGUACAGUUGCAGUGACCAACGCUCUGGUUAACAUGAAAACGGCCUUACCAGCUCUUCUAGGGCAGAGUGUCCAGUGUGCACUGGCCCGAACGUCCAGUGUGCGCUCCGAGAGCAAAACCGUUUGAAUUUACAAACUGACAAUCUGACACGUUGUACAGCGCCAUAUUUUCUGCUCCAUCCUAACGGAAACCCAGAAGGGUUUUUCAUGGAAUAGAAACACCAUAAUAUUAAUCAAAUUAUUUAAGCAAGUACCAGUCAAAAGUUUGGACACACCUACUCAUUCCAGGAUUUUUCUUUAUUUUUACUAUUUUCUACAUUGUAUAAUAAGAGUGAAGACAUCACAGCUAUGAAAUAACAUCGGUCUCCAGCGUGCCCCGCAUUCUGUAGUACAGACAUAGCCUGCUCUCUCAUGAAAGGAAUUAGGCACUUUCCCAUGCUUAGUACAGUAUGUAUUGUAGAUUGCACAGUAGCCUAAUAAACAAAGAAACACAUUUCAUUAAUAAAAUAAUGAUAAAAUAUACUCUUUCAAAUUGCAGAUCUUGAUUUAGUUAUGGAUCCACGCCAAAAAGACUGCAAGCACAGACACAGUUAGUACACAUAGUAACAAAUUACUCCUAAGUGUUGCAGAACCUUUCCUGAAGGUGAGCAUCUGUGUAUCUCUGUCAGUUAGUCACACCAUCCCUAGCCAUAUAUUUACUUUCCUUUAUUUGUACUUCAUCUAAAGAGUGCAAGUUGACAUUCACUAUGCAGCCCUCAUGGCUACAACUGUAGGCUUUAGCUCUGUGCCAGUGGGUUAAUGAGGUCUUGAGUUUCACAUCCCACCUGAGUUUGAUACCCAGGCUGACGUCAUUGCAACCAGUUUUGCCUACAUGAUAUGGUUGGGUUACACAAUGAGAUACCACACAGAACAUAUAGUAUACAAUAAUGCCUUUGAUCUUCACAUUGUCUUUUACAGUAGUUUCAAAGCCUGUGGACAUUUAAAGCUUGGCUUUUUGGUUCCUCCAACUGGAUUUAGGAAUGGUUCUAGAUCUGUGUUGUGUUGACUAUUGAGUUAACUGCUGCACAACAACGAGAGUAGACAAGAGAGUGUCAAACAUAUCUUGUUUCCUUUUUCCCUCUGGCACAAGUAUCUAAUAAUGAAACAUCUGAUAAAAAAAAAAACUUUAACUUUUUGUUGCUUUCCUACCCCUUUUCUCUCCCCUCUCUCUGUCCCUUUUUCUCUGUCCCUCUCCAUCCUUCCCUACCUCCCUCCCUCUCCCUGCCGAGGAGGAGUGAAAAGGUAUACCAGAACAUCAAUUGAUGACACCCUCCAGUUACAUCGCAUGGCUGCCUGCAGGGAUGUUGACACAGCAUAAAGGAGAAAAACUGGUAGUCACUGAGGCCAACAUGAUAACUCACAUCCUGAAGAGGACGGACUUGGUGGACUUGCAAAAUAUCUUAAGAAGAGGAGAAACGGACACUCACAUGCAGGCAAUCAUCUAUUAAAGGGGAGGAGCGAAGAGGUAUGCCAGAACUGGAUCUGCUUAGAGACAACCCUAACCUCAACAUUAGUUUAAGAUACACUCCAGUUACAUCGCAUGGCUGCCAAUGAGGAUGUUGACACAGCAUGAAGGAGAGAGAGAACAGGAAGUUAAUGAGAGGGUGACAUGAUAAUUCACAUCCAAUAGAAGGCGUUACAUCCUAAAGUGAAUGUGGAGACAAAAUUAUAGUAAAAUUUGUUGAGAACUUAUUGGACGCACAGUUGUUAUUGGAGAAAAUUCCCAUUUAAUGAUUGUGCUGUUAUCAUUUCAGACUUCCUUUAUUGGUCAUUCUCAGUCUUUUGUUGAAUUGGGGCCUCGAUGAGAUUCACUGAUGCAGACAAAUUAAAUAACUAUGCCUAGAGUUAUUAGUAGGAUGGGUCCCUCUUUUCAAGUGCCCAUUGUCCCAAAUGUAUAGGUUAAAAAAAAUGGAACCUCUUAAUACAAUUCACUAGUGUGUUUGCUAUGUUACUGCUGGUCCAAAGCUUUUUUCAGUUCUGUCUGUUCUGUUGUUUACAUGUAAGUGCCUCCCCUGUAUCUUUUAUAGCUGGUCAUUAUUUCGCUUGGCAGUGGAUUGCAGCUGUGAACAUAAAAAGCAGAUGUUUGGUGAGUUAAAGCCACCUACUCAUUAGAGGCAAUGGCUAUUAGGUUACGUUGGAAACAAAUAGAUUUUUGUACUGAGCUUUUUUGUAUAUCAAGUCAAAGAUUUACCCAUACAUUUCAUUUAAAUCAAAUCAAAUUGUAUUUGUCAUAUGCGCUGAAUGAAACAGGUGUAGACCUUACAGUGAAAUGCUUACUUACAAGCCCUUAACCAACGAUAAAUACAGUUUUAAGCAAAAAUGCCCCCCAAAAUUUAAAAAAUAAAAGUAAGAAAUAAUUAAGGAGCAGCAGUAAUAUAACAAUGCAAGGCUAUAUACAGGGGCUACCGGUACAAUGUGCGGGGGCACCGGUUAGUCGAAGUAAUUGUGGUAAUAUGUACAUGUAGGUAGAGUUAUUAAAGUGACUAUGCAUAGAUAAUUAACAGAGGGUAGCAGCACCG